AUUCACCAGGGAAUCUUGUUAAAAUGCAGAUUCUGGUUCAGUAAGUCUGGGGAGAGGCCCAAGAUUCUGCAUUUCUAACAGGCUCCCCAAGAAUGCUGA
rnacentral:pre_miRNA from 1 species